UGUAAUGAACAGAUGCUCUGAGCAAUAAUUUAAUCUGAGGACCAGAACCAUGAGAAAAUGUAAUAAAAACCGUGAAGAUAGAUGGACAAUUACUGCGACAGGUGAUGGCCAAACAUAGCUCACGCCAGCAAAAUGCAAUUGCUUUUCCUGUAACAGCUAAUUCUAUAGGCAACAAUAACAUGGUAGGAGCUGUAUGUUGGGAUUUUGAUGUAUCUUCUACUGUAGUGACACAUCACUGGUCACAACAAGGGAUCACAACAUGUUACAGAUGCUCUUCCCCCACCCCAAAAAGCACCAGAACCUUCCCGACCAAUAGAUCGCUAUGGUCAUGCACACACCUGUUGGUUGACAGACAGGGCCCUUGACCAAUGCGAUGCCUCAGUUGAGAGACCUUUCUAGACCACACCCAUAAGUGACCACAGCUCAGGUUCAUCUAGGGGUAAGUGGAGCUCGUUAGAGCUCCUGUUUCACUCUUUUGAGUUGGUUUUCCUGGGGCAGCAGGUCUGCAGUGGAAGACUCUUCUCCUUAGACUGGCCAUCUAAGGAAAGUUCCUUAGGGACUGAGACCCCUCACCAAACUGGGAUGCAGGCUGCUCUCCAUCGUGCAGGGGAAACCCAAAUUUGAAGUGGUUCUGGGUAUGCAGAAAGCUAACAUAGGUGGUUGGGGUCUAGACAUGCCCAUACGAGCAGGAUCUGUGUCUGUUGAAUAAUUCCCACCUCUCCAUUAGCCUCAAAACAGACAAAUCUCCUUAUCUGAAGACUUUCCAAAGGAAGAAAUGGAUGUGGCAAUUCAGCUUCCCAAGCUGUGAGGGUCCACUACAGUCAAACUGUCCCUCUUCCAGUUCACGUGGGCAUUGUAUAGUCUUUCAAUAUUAAUAAUGGUAUGGAAUUAAUUAUUCUAACAACCAAGCUACUGUAAACACAUUGUGAUAUGCAGUUCUCACAUUCUUUUGUAAUGGAGUUAAUGAUAUUUUGCUUUGAGGUCUUACGUAGCAAAAAAUUAAUGAUCCUCAAGCAAGAAAUUCCGCAGGUGUCCUGGAGAAGACUUGGCUCUUCAAGCAAGACUUACCCUGUGGUCCAGCAACUCCGGUUUACCUGAAGAAAGAAGAUACAUUAACUGCUGCACAUCCACACAUUGUUCUUCUGUUACGACAGAGCAGGGACCGUUCUCCUGUGAAAAGUCCAUACUGCUGUGGUUGUGUGCUGGUUUUCAUUAACACACACAUAGAAAGACAAAUGAAGAAUAUGUCCAAAGCUGCUGGCCAUGAAACCAGAGUCUUCUGUCUAAGCAUGUAUUCCUCCUUUUUUUAGACCUACCUUGCUGGUUUCAGUUAAAAACGAAACCAAACCCUAAAAACCCAGACCAACACCAACAAAUGAAGCCAACAACACCAACUUUCCCAUUAUUAACCUUGCUGGCUUCUCUGCUUUCCUUUGGAUGAUCUCUCCAACUUUUUAAAAAUAUUAGGACAACGCUGGAAACCAGUUGCCACAAAGUGUUAACCCAGCUUUGCUUCAAAGUGAAGUGGUGGUUCACAAACCUCCUGAGUGUCUUCCUCUGGGAGACUCGGAUCCUUUCAUCUCCAGUGUUUGAUUUCAGCAGAUUCCAUCAUCUCACAUCUGUCUUGCUGACAAAGAUAAAAUCCUCGUUCCACCUACGGCAGCAAAGUUACCUGCUGGUUACAUCUGCAUUUUCCACGUGCUCUUCCUCCCACUAAAGCCUCGUAUUCUGGUUUUAAGACAUGCUGCUGCUGCAGCUCACUGGGCACUGAACCCUCCUUGUUCUGUUUGCCUUAUCUAUCUCAUUCCCAUAUUCCCUUUUAAUUAUGAGGGCGGUUUGCCAUGCUACCUCACUUCUAUUGCAUCUGUGGGAUGAUGUGUGUGCACGCACAUCCUCGAACAUUUCCUAAAUCUUAUAAAUAAUUACAUUGGCAUGGUUAAUCAUGCCAAAGAUCACUCUGAGCUUUAGAUGAGAAGUUCUGGUUAUCCAGAGCCUCUGGUGUGUUUGACAAACACUUUCCAAGUAUGGGAGUGAACACCAAAGCCCACAGGCCACAGAACACUGUUGGGUUCUCACCAUGACAGUGCAAGGGUCAGUGAACUUUACAUUAUAGACUUGUUCUUGCUUUUAGACACCUCUCAGAGAGCUGGAAGGUUCCAUAAGCUGGUGUCGGUCAUGACAAAUGUGCGCGCUGAGCGGAGCACUCAAACUAUACAUGAGAAAUCAUUGCUCCAGGAGCACCUUGAUGAACCUGGGGAACACCAGAGAUCACCUGCUGUCCAGGUAGUCAGUGAAACAAAUUAAUGGAAAGGUUGCUGGAAUGAUCAAAAAUCUGUAAAAGCAUAUGUUUUGAGUAGCUAAUAAUGUCCCUUCUUUGUUGGAAGUGAUUAUUUUUCAUUUAGCAGAUCCAAACAGUUAAUAAGGUGCAUCUUUGCUCAUUCUGUUCCUCAGCACCAAGGCACAGUCAAAGAGUGAAAUUAUUCUGUGCUUAAAAAGAAAACAGAACAAUAUGUUAAACUUGAGUUGUAAGUAAUAAUGUGUUUUCUGAAACAGUCCCUUUAGAAAUUGCAUUUUCUCAAAUCCUUGAAUUAUGCAGCAUAUUCAAAACGUGAAAGCAGUCACAACUUCCAUGCUCUGACCAAAUAACUGCUAUUUUAGUAACAAACAAUCUUUACAUCAAUGGGACAAAAUAGACACUUACAAACAUUCUAGAGUAAAACUUACAGAUCUGAGUUAGGGUAAACUAGGAAUGGUGUGUUAGUUAUGAAGAACCAUCAAUGUGCAUAGAAUGACAUCGCAUAGUAAUUGCUUUUUAUGCAUUUGUGGUGUCACAGUUCUCACCAUAUUAAAGUUUUUAUCACUUGUUUUGUUGUUUGAGCUCGUGCCAUGAUUACAUUUGCAAUUAUGUACCCACUGCUUCUCACCAAUAGCCAACACCUAUUGCUACUACUCCAUGUUAAAGCUAUCCUUUGAAAUUAUCAUCACCACUUCUAUUUUAGCAAUAGUAGCAUCAGCCCCAACUUAGAGGAAAUGCAUGUGAGCUAUGGGAAGCCUGACCUUGGAGAGGGAAAUCUGAGGUCUGACUAAUCAAGGCUUUUUAUGUAGACAUUCUUGCUCGUUUUUCCUGAAGAAAUCGUUGGUCAGGUAUCUUUUCAGAAGAUAUCUAGGCAGCAGCAGCUCCUCCUCAGGUCUUAGGACCACAAAUACCUGUUUCUAGCCUGGGCAGAGAGGGACUUUCUCAACCCUCACUUUAGGAUGUGCGAUUUUUCACGUGAUAAAUUUGGACUUUUUGCCCUUCUUACCGCCUUUUCCCGUUGACGUAUUCAAUGGGAGUAUUGAUGCCCAG